UGUCACAGCUUUAAUGAUAGUGCCUUAAUCGGCUAAGAGGGAAUCAGGUUAAAGGCCUGAGCUGUACCCGCAACUGUAAGCGUUGAGUGUUACCUUGAACCACUGAUUAUUCGGGAAGGAGGGUAAUACGUUGUUAUACGCAAGCCAGGAAACCUGCUAUCAAAACAUGCUUCUA
rnacentral:ncRNA from 2 species